rnacentral:rRNA from 1 species
GACGAACGCUGGCGGCGUGCCUAAUACAUGCAAGUCGAGCGAGCUUGCCUAGAUGAUUUUAGUGCUUGCAACUAAAAUGAAAAACUAGAUACAAAGCGAGCGGCGGACGGGUGAGUAACACGUGGGUAACCUGCCCAAGAGACUGGGAUAACACCUGGAAACAGAUGCUAAAUACCGGAUAAACAAACACUAGACGCAUGUCUAGGGGUUUGAAAAGAUGGUUCUGCUAUCACUCUUGGAUGGACCUGCGGUGCAUUAGCUAGUUGGUAAGGUAACGGCUUACCAAGGCAAUGAUGCAUAGCCGAGUUGAGAGACUGAUCGGCCACAUUGGGACUGAGACACGGCCCAAACUCCUAC